GUGUGUGACCUUUGGGUCUUCCACGUUACCAAAGUGUGGAACGAGCCUCUGUGUUAAUGAAGGGCUUGUCAAUGCGGGUUCUAAUGUGAUUACUUGAGUGUUGCUUUUCUGACCUGCUGAUGACCUCAUGAUGUCUUCAGAGGAGACACCCCUGUAUUGGACACCAUCCUGGACAGAGACGACUUCACCGUCAUGAAGAGAGCCAUCUAUGCCACACAGAGACACACCCUUCCUCCAGUGACCACUCACAGCGUGCGGGAUGACACCUCUGACCCCAUCCUGUCCCAACGUGGGACGCAUCGGCCUCUUCAGCGCUCGCAAUGACCGAGUCAAGGUCUGCAGGAUGUUCGUUCGAUGUCCGUGUUUGUUUAUGAUAAUGUUUUGCCUCGUUUAUUGCGUUAAACCAGUUGAAGAAUUGUCUGGAGAAGGUCUGGCAGCCGAGACAUUGACAAUAUAGAAAGUAUCAUAAAGUAUCAUGCGUGCUUAUGAUAAGUAAUACCUGUUGCUUUUAUGUAAUGUACUAUCAAAGUGUUUUUCCCCCAUUAGAGCGGUGGUUCCCAAACUGUUGGUCGGGAUGACAUUGGUAUGGAAAAACGCUUUCAUUGUAAACUUAAAGGACUAAAAUCAAAUAGAAAGUAUGUGGAAAAGACAAUGGACUUACACAUUUUUCUAAAAUAACUUAUAAUUGUUGAGAAUUUACAAUCAACUAAAUAAAAGCUAGACAAUUAGGCCCCCAUUGACUUUGUUAUAAUGUUUGAGCAUAAGAACAAACCAUUAUUCAUGGCAAAUUGUAUAGAAUUUCAGGAAACUGUCUUUAAAACUGCAACAUUUUCUUUCAGCUCCAUGGCAGGAUGUGUGGAAUUGCAAGAGAUCAGCUUUGAAAUUUCCUCUCCGCUGCCACGAGAAUAUGUUAUUCUUUGGUCUAUGUAUGUCUUUUCACCGCACAACACUUAUGGUAGGUUACGGCUCAAAAGAUUGUUCAAUUGGUAGGUCACGAACCAAAAAGUUUGGGAACCCCUGCAUUAGAGUAUACAGUAUAUGCCAUUUAGCAGACACUUUUAUCCUUAGUUACUUACAGUCAUGCGUGCAUAGAUUUGACAUAUGUUUGGUCCUGGAAAUCAAACCCACUAUCCUAGUGUUGCCAGCGCCAUGCUCUACUAAUUGAGCUAUAGAGGACCCUUGGAGCAUACAGUAUAGACAGUGUAGUGCUGAUCUAUAUUUUAUUCUAAAUGGUACUAACAGACAUGUUUCCCGAUACUAUCAGAUAGUGUUACACCCAGAGAUCCUGUCCCGCACCAGUCCCCUGCUUCCUAUGGACAAUGGGGAGUUUGUACGAGGUUGUCACCUGGGGGUCUUCCCUUCUUACUACGAGCCCUGGGGAUACACACCAGCUGAGUGUACUGUGAUGGGAGAUACCCAGUGUGACCACCAACCUGUCUGGCUUCGGCUGCUUUUUGGAGGAACAUGUGUCAGACACCACAGCAUGCGUGCACUCUAACCCCCACCACAGUGAUGAGGAGGAUGAUGAUGAAGAGCCAUAUGAUGAAGAUGAGUUGGCAGAGCGGGACAGGUAGAACAUCAAAGCCCCCUUCACUGUGGGUUUCACCCCCGAGGGCAAGAAGAUACACCCAGGAGAGACUGCCAACCGAGAGAUCUCUCUACUAGCCUGGGAUGACUACCCUGGUCCUUGAAGGGACACUGAGCCUUAAACAGCUGUUACACAUACCACCUUUGCAUAUUUUCUAAGAGAAAAUAGCUAUUAUUUUGAUGAUCAAGUCCCCUCACGCCCAUAGGAAAUGAGACAUGAAUCGUUGAAUCAAUAAUUAUAUAUCAGGAAUUGCAUUGAGAGGUCUCUCUCUCUACAUUACUCUCUACAUUACUUCUAUGAUCAGAUACCCUUAGACAAGUGUUGCUAUGAAUUCAAAAUAAUUUUAUUAAACAUUUUCUUGAAAUAAUACAUUCAAACAUUUUCAGUGUAGCCGUACUUAAUUAAGAGUCCAGUGUUUUUCUCACUUCGCAUUAAAUAGUCUACAUCCAACAACAAGAGAUCAACAGAUGCAAUAGAUUAGGAUGUUGUCAACAAUAAUAAAUACAU